UCUCCUCCACUGGGUCACUUCUUUGAUUGCUACAGAUCCAUAUUCACACUGGUCUUUUAACUGAGCUCCGCGCGCACACACCCAUGAAAGACCCCCUCAGGAAUCCAAAAAUCAGGAGAAAAGGGAAGAAAAAAACCAUGGGAGAGGGAGUGGCAGAAGAAGAUAUCAGGGAUGUUUCUGGGUGCUGGAGAGGCCCGAAUAGUUUUAUACCCCAUUUGAUCAGUAGCCGAUGGUACAUGGUGUUCGCAACCAUCCUAAUCAUGGCCAUGUCUGGAGCUACUUACAUGUUUGGCAUCUAUUCGGAGGACAUCAAAUCUUCACUAGGCUAUGACCAGACAACCUUAAACUUGAUCGGCUUCUUCAAGGACUUGGGUGCAAAUUUGGGAAUCAUUUCGGGGCUGGUCAACGAGGUCGCACCUCCCUGGUUAGUUCUCUCCUUGGGUGCAGUCAUGAACUUUUCUGGUUACCUGAUGAUAUGGCUGUCGGUGACCGGACGCAUUGCUAGGCCGGCCGUGUGGCACAUGUGUUUCUAUAUAUUCAUCGGUGCCAAUUCUCAAACUUUUUCCAACACCGUUGCAUUGGUUUCGUGUGUCAAAAAUUUUCCAGAAAGUCGAGGUGUUGUCAUCGGUCUGUUGAAGGGAUUUGUUGGGCUUAGCGGUGCAAUAAUCACACAACUCUACCGUGCUUUUUACGGGCAUGAUUCCAAGUCUCUCAUCUUACUCAUCGGCUGGCUUCCCGCUGCCGUUUCACUCAUUUUCCUUAGAACUGUUCGCAUCAUGAGGGUCGUUCGACAAGCAACUGAGCUCAACAUGUUCUACCGUUUCCUCUACGUUUCGCUCAUUCUAGCCGGUUUUCUAAUGAUCACAAUCAUUGCCCAAAACUGGCUGGCUUUUACUAGGUUAGAGUACGGGGCAAGUGCUUCUGUGGUGAUUGUUUUGCUUUCUAUGCACUUGCUCGUUGUCAUAACAGAGGAGUUCAAACUUUGGAAGAGAAAGAGGGGAGAAACCUCAUAUGAUCCACCACCAGCGAGUGAGUUUGCACCCCAGGCAGCGAAAGCAGAGACGCCUCUCGCCGAUCCACCGAAUCAAGAAGAGACGCCCGUUUC
rnacentral:lncRNA from 1 species